ACAGAGCUGUGCGGCGCGCGAGUGCUGCGCGGUUGAGAGAGGGUGUGGUUCUGAUGGGGUGGCGGUGUGGGGUGCGAGCUGCGUGAGUGGCGGCCCCCGUAUCGCCCUUUCAUAUAAAAUUUGCGAUCUUCAAUACCGUAGUGAGCAAGUGAUUACGACACA
rnacentral:misc_RNA from 1 species